rnacentral:rRNA from 1 species
AUCUAGGACAUUUCUCCCUGCCGCCGCCGCACUAUCUCCCACCUCGGGAUCCUCCCCAAAUCCAAAAAUUCCCCUCGAGUUCCCAACCAGAUCCACUCCUCCUUCCCUGUAGCUCCUCCUUUGCUUUCUCCUCGAACCCGUAGCAGCAACGGAGCAGGAGCCCUCGCGCCCGAGCCUCACCGACCCUGCAGGCUGCGCCCUCCGGCGACCCCGUCGCCGGCGAUCACGGCGAGGACCGGCCUUGUCCCGCUCCUCCCCUCCCUAUCUCUUUUCCUCCCCGUGCUUCUCUCUCACAGAUCCCUCUCACAGGAAUGAUGCCAUGGCCUCCCUUUUCCCCCGACUCCCUCACCUCUCUCUCCUCUUCAGGAACUCCACGAUGUCGCCGCAGACCCAGCCAUGGAGCCGCUGGAUGCCGCCCUCUGCAGCACCGUUGCCAAGACCGUGGGCCACCGCGUCCGGAGAUGGUCAGACCUGCCCCGGCCCGACGGCUUGCACCUCCCUCUGCGUCCUCCCCAUCCCGCCGCUGCCGCGUCCGGCAUCCUCGUCUUCGCGCCGCCGCCUCUGUUGUUCCGCUCGACUGCUGCCUCCAGUCGCCGGAACACCGACGCCCCGAACCAGCACCAUGGAGACGCCACCAUCACCUCCUCCACUGGAUCUCCUUCACUCCGCCACCCUGCCGCUGGAUCUGCCCGUUCCGGCCGGUUCCCGCCCGGCGCCGCGUUGAACCCAUGCCUCCUCCGCUGCCGUUCUUCUUCAGCGAGAUGCAGCAGCGCUGCAUCGAGCGCUUGACCACCACACAUGUGGGUCACCAGCUGGGCUCUAGAUCAGGCCCAACGCGCCUCCUCCCCACUGACUUGGGCUUGGCCCAUGGUGAGGGCACCCCACGCCCCUCCUUUUUCCCCUCCUGUUGGGCUAGGCUGCCAGUUUGGGCAUGUAUAGUUUUUUUAGGCUGUGUGAAUUUCUGUAAUAUUCCAGUGUAAAACAGUUUUACAGAAAUGCCAUUUUCUUGCAUUGCUCAUAAUUAAAUAACCG